rnacentral:siRNA from 1 species
AGGUACUAAUCUUUGUGCAUGCA